rnacentral:sRNA from 1 species
AUUAACUGUUAACAAAAUGGUAUUUGGAUUCUACAUGACUCUCAGCUUCCCACAAAAAGGAUCCAAAAGCAGCUGCCUCCAAAACAAGAUGGGUGAGUUCUAUGAAAGUUAUUGUUAUCAUUUGACCAUCCUUUGCAUUGACAGAGCCAUCAUCUAAGACUUUAAUAUCUGGCCGUCCAAACAACGCCUGUGUUUGCUUCUCUAUCAGUGAGACGGCCUCUUUUGAUCUGAUAGUAGCAUACCUUUGCAACGUAUCAGCAUCCAAGCGUGAAACAUAGGACCUCAGCUUGUUUGGAUUUGAUUCUUCAUCAUCCAAAUCGAUCUCCUCCCCAUCAGGUGUAAUUUGCACCAAUGAUUCCAUAUCCCAGAAUGGAUUAGGCUUCAGGUUUUCAAGUACUAUCUGUUGCUUAGGAUUUGGCGGGAGAGUCUUCAUGUUCUUCUCGAGUUGGAAUCGCUCAUCUACCCUCUUUAGGAAGUAGCCAUACAUGAUGGAUGCUGCAUAAAGCUUUCCCAGAUUUAAGUUGCUGAUUUCAACAACUGUAUCUAGUGGGGCUGCUACCUUUUCACCCAUUAUAAGGUUGAGAUGAUUUUGUAUCAUCUCAAGAGCGUCCGGGGAAUGUAUGCUUUGCAACCUAUCCUCUUGGUUAGGCAAUGAGGAGAUGUCACGUACAGGGCCACCUAAUGGUGCUAAUGCAGGUGUCAUUGAUAUGUCAUUCUCCAUGAACUUAUAAAUAAUCCAACAGUAGAUGAUCUCUUCCAAGGUGUUCUGCCUUUCCUUCUCUUUGACUUCUGCUAUUCUCCUGUA